GAAUGUGCAAGAAAAUAGUGUGUAAUAAAAGAUUAUAUGAAUGAAAGAGAGAGAGUGUGAACAAAAAACAAGUGUAUGAGAGAGAGAAAGAAAGAGUGUAUUUACAAAAGAAAAAGAGAGAUUGAACAAGAAAAGAGUGUGAGAGUGAAAGUGUGUAUGAAAGAGGAGUAUGAGAGAAAAACAAAUAGAAUAAAAGAAAAAAAAAAUACAACGUAUAAAAAAAGAGUGUGUUUGUUAGAAAAAAAGAGAAAUUGGGCAAGAAAAUAAUAUAAGAGUGAGAGUGUUGUAAGAAAGGAGUGUGAGAGAGAAAGAUAGAGAGAGUAGAAGAAAAAAAAUGUAAAAGAAUAGAGUGUGUAAUAGAAAAAAAGACUGUGUGUAAAGAAGGAGUAUGGGAGAAAAAAAGAGGUUAUAUAAAAAAAGAGUGAGAAAAAAAAGUGUAUGCAAGAGAGGAAUGUGAGAAUAAAAGAAAGAGAGCAUAAGAAAGGAAGAAAGAGAGUAUAAAAAAAAAGAAAGAGAGUGUGUAAGAGAGGAGUAUGAGAGAAAAAGAGUGAAUGUGUAUGCACAAAAGAAAGAGAGAUUAUGUAAGAAAGGAAUGUGAGAAAGAGAGAUUAUGCAAGAGAGGAGUGUGAGAGAAAGAAAAAUAAUAUCCAAGAAUAGAGUGUAUGAGAGAAAAGAAAAGAAAAUAUGUAAGAAUAGAAUAUAUGAAAAAA
rnacentral:lncRNA from 1 species